rnacentral:pre_miRNA from 1 species
ACAACAUUUGGACCGUCGGUCUACCGAGCAAUAUCACCCGCUCGGUGGAAGAUCUUCCCUUUGUUGU